GCUCUAAUGGUCUAGUGGUAUGACGUUCGCCUCACACGAUGCUUUGUGCGUGCGCGAAAGGUCUCGAGUUCGAGCCUCGAUUGGAGUA